AAAGACUAUCCAUAUCCUAUGUACCUAACAUUUCUAGGGGAUUAUGUGUCAGAAAGCAUGGAUAUUUAUUUCAUUCCAUAUCAGUAUACUAGUAAAUUUGUCACACAUACACUGUUUGUCGAACCAAUUCCAAUAAUAUCUAUAGACAUGCAUAUCUUUGGAAAGAAAAGGACCACACACACAUACAAAGGAAGUGUCUCAAGGGCCAAACUGUUCUGGAAACUAUCAUAGCAGAAAUCAUAUUUUUCUAAGUCUGGACUAAAAGGGGAUGCACGCACACUUAUCUUGGCUUGAUCAGCUGAACAAUCAGAUCUUACUACUCGACAUUGGUAUUGUUUGAUGCUUCCCAUCGAACAUCAAGCAAUUUGUGAUUCACCAUUGCCCUAGGGACUCGACAUCCCAGCUAUCUUGCUCUGGCAGCUUACUGGUAGCAGACAAAAAUACUUGAAUGCCUGUUUUGGAAGUUGUUCCAAAUUUGUACAGCUCCCUAGGUGGACUCAUAGAAGGUUGAACAAUGUUUUAUUAAUCAGUUAUAGCAUCCGUAAACUUCAAAGAAAAUUCAUAAACAAAAUCUACCUCAUUAGGUGCAUCCUUUUAUGAUUCUUGGCUGUUAGGUGAACAAAGAGAUAGUAAGAAACAUAUGAAACUGGCUUUUUAAACUUGCAUUAUUGCAGUAUGCAAGAAAUUGAUGUCUGAUGAUAUUGCCCCAAGUGGUCUAGAAUAACUUGAUAACCUAACAAUGCACUAAGUGAUUAUGUAGAGAAUUAUAAAUUCACCAAAUUCUUAAUUCAGUAUUUUAAUCAAACAACAUUUGUUAAUUUGGAACUAUUUGAUAUUGUUGAUUGUGCGUAAGUCUAUUUAGUUAGAGAAGGUUCAGCAAAUACCUGUUAUUACCUUGACAGUGCCCACAGCUUGACAGAGUUAAUAUUUUGGGCAAGAAAUCUCUGUUAUAAAUGGUCCAAAUUUAUCUAUAUGUAUUAUGUAUAUCUCCAACAAUAGAAAAAACAUUUUGGUCCUCUUCCUCUCUAGCAAAUCUUCGUCGGUGAUAGGGAUAUACCAAUGACCUUUCUUUGAUUUCUGAGUUUCAGAGGUAGAGGGUGGAACAAUUAGAAAGUCAAUAAAGGGCUAGAUGAAUCUGAUUGAAAAACUAAAAACAACAGAAUAUCUUGUUGUGCAUAAAUCAUCAAUUAUAUGCCCAAUUAGUACUGUCCAGUUAAAAGUCGAAGCUAGAAUUAUAGAUCUUACAACUGUACUUCCAAAAAGAACAAUUCAAUGUCAGACUUUUAUCAUUGCUAAAUGUCAGGAUCUCAUAUCAUACAAUCAUAAUCCUCCUAGAUUAGGAUUAUACCAAAUUAGUGAACGAAUAAAAUAACUACAAUUUGGAGCUUCAACUAAAGCAAACGGUUAACUUAAUUUUCUAGUCGAUGACCAUGUUGGUACCUGAAGAAUUACCCUCCCCCUACUGUUAGUUUAGCACUUUGGUCCCAAGUUCUUGGCGCAGCAUCUGAUCCCAAAUCUCCAACCUGGUAGCCAAUUCUGGUCAACAAAUAGUAGCAUGGAAUACUUUUACAACUAACUUAGAAUCAGACAAGAAGACAUGCUUGC
rnacentral:lncRNA from 1 species